CAUGCAAGUCGAGCGGUAGCACAGAGAGCUUGCUCUCGGGUGACGAGCGGCGGACGGGUGAGUAAUGUCUGGGAAACUGCCUGAUGGAGGGGGAUAACUACUGGAAACGGUAGCUAAUACCGCAUAACGUCGCAAGACCAAAGUGGGGGACCUUCGGGCCUCAUGCCAUCAGAUGUGCCCAGAUGGGAUUAGCUAGUAGGUGGGGUAACGGCUCACCUAGGCGACGAUCCCUAGCUGGUCUGAGAGGAUGACCAGCCACACUGGAACUGAGACACGGUCCAGACUCCUACGGGAGGCAGCAGUGGGGAAUAUUGCACAAUGGGCGCAAGCCUGAUGCAGCCAUGCCGCGUGUAUGAAGAAGGCCUUCGGGUUGUAAAGUACUUUCAGCGGGGAGGAAGGCGAUAAGGUUAAUAACCUUGUCGAUUGACGUUACCCGCAGAAGAAGCACCGGCUAACUCCGUGCCAGCAGCCGCGGUAAUACGGAGGGUGCAAGCGUUAAUCGGAAUUACUGGGCGUAAAGCGCACGCAGGCGGUCUGUCAAGUCGGAUGUGAAAUCCCCGGGCUCAACCUGGGAACUGCAUUCGAAACUGGCAGGCUAGAGUCUUGUAGAGGGGGGUAGAAUUCCAGGUGUAGCGGUGAAAUGCGUAGAGAUCUGGAGGAAUACCGGUGGCGAAGGCGGCCCCCUGGACAAAGACUGACGCUCAGGUGCGAAAGCGUGGGGAGCAAACAGGAUUAGAUACCCUGGUAGUCCACGCCGUAAACGAUGUCGAUUUGGAGGUUGUGCCCUUGAGGCGUGGCUUCCGGAGCUAACGCGUUAAAUCGACCGCCUGGGGAGUACGGCCGCAAGGUUAAAACUCAAAUGAAUUGACGGGGGCCCGCACAAGCGGUGGAGCAUGUGGUUUAAUUCGAUGCAACGCGAAGAACCUUACCUGGUCUUGACAUCCACAGAACUUAGCAGAGAUGGUUUGGUGCCUUCGGGAACUGUGAGACAGGUGCUGCAUGGCUGUCGUCAGCUCGUGUUGUGAAAUGUUGGGUUAAGUCCCGCAACGAGCGCAACCCUUAUCCUUUGUUGCCAGCGGUUAGGCCGGGAACUCAAAGGAGACUGCCAGUGAUAAACUGGAGGAAGGUGGGGAUGACGUCAAGUCAUCAUGGCCCUUACGACCAGGGCUACACACGUGCUACAAUGGCAUAUACAAAGAGAAGCGACCUCGCGAGAGCAAGCGGACCUCAUAAAGUAUGUCGUAGUCCGGAUUGGAGUCUGCAACUCGACUCCAUGAAGUCGGAAUCGCUAGUAAUCGUAGAUCAGAAUGCUACGGUGAAUACGUUCCCGGGCCUUGUACACACCGCCCGUCACACCAUGGGAGUGGGUUGCAAAAGAAGUAGGUAGCUUAACCUUCGGGAGGGCG
rnacentral:rRNA from 1 species